GUAAAGGCUUACCAAGGCAAUGAUGCGUAGCCGAACUGAGAGGUUGAUCGGCCACAUUGGGACUGAGACACGGCCCAAACUCCUACGGGAGGCAGCAGUAGGGAAUCUUCCACAAUGGGCGAAAGCCUGAUGGAGCAACGCCGCGUGGGUGAAGAAGGUCUUCGGAUCGUAAAACCCUGUUGUUAGAGAAGAAAGUGCGUGAGAGUAACUGUUCACGUUUCGACGGUAUCUAACCAGAAAGCCACGGCUAACUACGUGCCAGCAGCCGCGGUAAUACGUAGGUGGCAAGCGUUAUCCGGAUUUAUUGGGCGUAAAGGGAACGCAGGCGGUCUUUUAAGUCUGAUGUGAAAGCCUUCGGCUUAACCGGAGUAGUGCAUUGGAAACUGGGAGACUUGAGUGCAGAAGAGGAGAGUGGAACUCCAUGUGUAGCGGUGAAAUGCGUAGAUAUAUGGAAGAACACCAGUGGCGAAAGCGGCUCUCUGGUCUGUAACUGACGCUGAGGUUCGAAAGCGUGGGUAGCAAACAGGAUUAGAUACCCUGGUAGUCCAC
rnacentral:rRNA from 1 species